rnacentral:misc_RNA from 1 species
GAUGAAGAACGUAGCGAAAUGCGAUAAGUAAUGUGAAUUGCAGAAUUCAGUGAAUCAUCGAAUCUUUGAACGCACAUUGCGCCCGCCAGUAUUCUGGCGGGCAUGCCUGUUCGAGCGUCAUUACAACCCUCAGGCCCCCGGGCCUGGCGUUGGGGAUCGGCGGAGCCCCCCGUGGGCACACGCCGUCCCCCAAAUGCAGUGGCGGUCCCGCCGCAGCUUCCAUCGCGUAGUAGCUAACACCUCGCGACUGGAGAGCGGCGCGGCCACGCCGUAAAACACCCAACUCUUCUGAAGUUGACCUCAAAUCAGGUAGGAAUACCCGCUGAACUUAAGCAUAUCAAUAAGCGGAGGA